rnacentral:rRNA from 1 species
UACAGAGGGGGCAAGCGUUAUUCGGAAUUAUUGGGCGUAAAGGGCGCGUAGGCGGCCUGGCAAGUGGAUGGUGAAAUCCCUCGGCUUAACCGAGGAACUGCCAUCCAGACUGCUUGGCUUGAGACCGGGAGAGGUGAGUGGAAUUCCCAGUGUAGCGGUGAAAUGCGUAGAUAUUGGGAGGAACACCAGUGGCGAAGGCGGCUACCUGGACCGGUUCUGACGCUGAGGCGCGAAAGCGUGGGUAGCAAACAGG